AUUGAACGCUGGCGGCAGGCCUAACACAUGCAAGUCGGGCGAACGGCGGACGGGGGAGUAAUGUAUGGGGAUAUGCCUGAUGGAGGGGGAAAACUACUGGAAACGUUAGAUAAAACCGCAUACCACCAGAUGAACCCAUAUGGGAUUAGCUGGUAGGUGAGGUAACGGCUCACCUAGGCGACGAUCCCUACCUGGUCGGACAGGAUGAUCAGCCACACUGGGACUGAGACACGGCCCAGACUCCUACGGGAGGCAGCAGUGGGGAAUAGUGCACAAUGGGCGCAAGCCUGAUGCAGCCAUGCCGCGUGUAUGAAGAAGGCCUUCGGGUUGUAAAGUACUUUCAGUCGGGAGGCGUUACCGACAGAAGAAGCACCGGCUAACUCCGUGCCAGCCGCCGCGGUAAUAC
rnacentral:rRNA from 1 species